AUGACACCGCUAAACACAGAGAUGAGACUUUUAGAUCUGAGGGAGAAUGAACAAAGAGCCAACUCAUGGAUGAUGGGAAGACAUCAAGGGGAGAUUUCUCAACCUUAUACACUUCAAACAAGUCUUUGUUGGGCCAAGAUGGAGUGGAAUGAUCCAACAUCUGUCUGCCUGUCCUGCCUGAGCUUCAGCCAAGUAGGAUCUCAGA
rnacentral:lncRNA from 12 species